CAUCAUUUUUUCCCUUCUCCAUUGUAGUCCAAGUUCCAAAGAUAGCAUUAAUAAUUUUUCACUUUACCUGCAACAAUAUUGAAAUAGCACUACCGCCCCUUGAAAUUUGUAAAUAUUGCUAUAUCAGUGCAAAACAACCAAAUAGAAUUCUCAUUACUGCGCUAUCCGCAGUUCCUUGGGCGCCAACUUUGCGAGCGAGAAUAUACGAGCUAUCGAAAUUUCAUUUUGAGGUCCGGACGUUUCAGUUGCUUCCGUCUCCUUCUUCACACUCUGGGCAGAGCCCUCUACCGUAUUCUCGCCUAUCGUGACUCGAACAAGCCUUAAGUAACAUAUAUUCAAAUGGAAAGCAAAGGAGCUGAAGUUACGAGGAAACGCUUUAAACCAGCUGUGGAAGAGAAUGAAGGAGGUAGGAAGUUUGUAGAAAAGGUUGAAUUUGCGACGGAAAUUGCAAGAUCUGAGGAGAUGGAUCUUAAUCACAUCCUUGAAAAGAUUGAAAACUUCACUGAGCUGGUAUCUGAACUGCUGGAAUCAGGGAAGGCAAUGUUGAAGCAGCUGAGUAAUGAAUUUGAAGAGCGGAUGAUCAUGAUACAUAAAGAACAAAUUGAGAAAUGGCAGGAAGAAAUCAAAGAACUGAAAUUGCUUGAUGCCUCAAAUGUCCAGUCCCAUGCUGUUCUGCAUGAUGCUCGAUGUUUACUCCAGAAUGCUCAUAUUGAUUAUUGAAGGUAUCAUAUAUCAGACUGUGCCUAAUUAGGAAUCCAAAUGAGGCCAAGCCUGGCCAAGUUUGUCUGAGCUGGCGGAUUUCCUAAGCCAUCGAGGAUCGAUAAAUUCCAAUCCGCCAAUGUCAAACAUGUUAGGACUGUAUGUUGACUGAUUUCAAGCUAUAAGUAACCUGUAGCGUGUUGAGCAUUUUGUUUUUGAUCAUUUGCCGCUCUGACUAGUACUCAUAAACCUCUUCACCAAUCUAGAUUACAAGAUUUAUAUCAAGAAAAAACCAUGUUGUCUAGUUUCUUUUAUGGAAAGUGAGUGGUUAACCAAUAUUUUAUCGGUCUAAUAAGAUGGACAAGUGCAUCUGUUACUGACACGUACACAUCUGCAGAGAGUAGAAAUCUCUAUCAUUGAUAUUCCCUGUACUUUGGAUCCUCUCUGUGAUUUCUUAUAAAGUACGCAUCUCUCGGCUCACAGAGGGCACCAAGUUAAUUGCAUUGCCUAGUAUUUUACUUAUUUUGAGUUUUUUGGACUGGACCAAGUAUAUAAUAAUUGAUUACCAUUUUUACAGA